rnacentral:rRNA from 1 species
UACGUAGGGGGCUAGCGUUGUCCGGAAUCAUUGGGCGUAAAGAGCGUGUAGGCGGCCCGGUAAGUCCGCUGUGAAAGUCCAGGGCUCAACCCUGGAAUGCCAGUGGAAACUGUCGGGCUGGAGUCCGGAAGAGGCGAGUGGAAUUCCUGGUGUAGCGGUGAAAUGCGCAGAUAUCAGGAGGAACACCAAUGGCGAAGGCAGCUCGCUGGGACGGUACUGACGCUGAGACGCGAAAGCGUGGGGAGCAAACAGG